CUGGAUGGAGGGAAGGGCGUCUUGAUGGUGACUUCACUGACACCAACAACUUCCUGACGCAACGCUCCUGUAACAGCGGCGCGGAAACAGGGAGCUCACCUUUUUAUCCGAUGAACCAACAUGAUCCUAUUUCUGCAUAAGCCGUCUCAGCUCUCCCUGCCUUCGCUUCCAAGAACAGCAUCGGCUCGUUACAUCAAAGAUUACUCUGUUUAUGUCUAGUUUUCUGCAAAAUGAGGGCAACAUCCUCAGUCGUUUACUCUACUUGUUGCGUCACUUUACGGUGCUGUGUAUCUGUCGUCUAAAGGCAGGAAAUCAAAUCACCUGGCCUGUUUGUGAUGUCCAAAGUGUUUGGACGUAUUUUGAGUUUCGCUUCCACCGCGAGGAAGUAAACUUUUUUGCCACCUUGGCUAGGCUAUAAUGUGUGAGAAAAAGCGAGUAACCUGUCAGGAAACGGAAUGAAUGGAUGGGAUAUUUACGCAGCGUCAGCCUGGCUUUUAUACUGAAAUAAAAGGUGAUUUUGUGUGAUAGCGAAUAGUUUUGGAAUGGAAGGAAAUCGCUAGUCUAAUUCACUCUCUGUUGGUGGUGGUAACGCGUUACUGCGCAUCUCGUUACCGCCCUGCACUGUCCGGGAACUAGAGUUUGAAGUCGAGAGGCGUGUAGGCUGCAGGCGCUCUCUUUUUGACGACUCUGGCUCGAUGAAUAACAGACAUAAAGCCUUUACGCGCCAUAGAAAGCAAGGAAGUAAGGCUGAAAAAGCUUCGGAAUCUAGUUGUGUAAAGAAAUCCAAGUUAUCGAGGCGGGCUGUGCAAAUGUGUCCGCUCCUAUACGCGCGCACGGGGCGCACCGACCUGUAGUAGCCUGAUCUUGGACAGCCUAUCAAACCUGGGCACCGAGGACUGUCUAUUUCACUUUGAAGGGAUGCUGGUCGUCCCAGACACGUGAGCUGAGCUGAUGAGACGAGUUUAUCGCGGAUUUGGAUGAAGGGUUUUCUGCGCGUUAAUGGCCAGGCAUGCGAACUAGGCUACGGUGCGCUCAGAUGUGAGUGUUUUUUUUCUUUCUCUUCUCGGUCGCUCUCCGUAUCCACCGCUCCGCCUCCCCCUUUUCGCAACAUUGACGCAACCAAAAACACUGGAACAAAAGAAACAACUUCCUUGAAGCUUUUCUGAAACUGCACUUAGUCGGAGAAUGGAAGCGUGUUGUCAACUUGUCUGGAUGGAAAUGUCGAGGUGAGGCUGUCACCAGGAGCCGGCUGGCAGCGAGGGAGAUGCAGUCGAUCACUCCGAAACACAUCCAGGUUGUCGAGUAAUGAACCUCUGGCUGCAUUAGGAGGGGACAGAAGACUUCUGCAAAAGAUGCUGAUGAUCAUCUUUAGGUAGAGCAAAUAUAGGGAAUUGGUGUGUAGUUAUCUGUGAUCAUGUGGUCUGGACUAGAAGCCAGAGGGAUUAGGACAGCAGAUUUAACCCAGAAGAAGCGAAGCACUGACACCCUGACUGCACUUCUGGCGAUGCUGUAGCAGCACGGAAUGGUUUGUGGGUUACACAGAGAUGCAGGCCAUACUGUGCUGCCGCAGAAGAGCCUGAAAAUACGACCUCGCACCCCUUCAACCUGUAACUAAGCCGACAUGUUUACUGUUCUAAAUGUAUGCAACGUAGACAACUGUUUGCCUGAUGAUUAAAAGUUGUUUGGAUUUGCCUUUCCCAUUUGCUGGUCGCCUUACUGUAGCAGCACGUAAAUAUUGGAGUUAAGACUUUAGCUGAAGCCUCCAGUAUUGAUCGUGCUGCUGAAGCAAAGCUGAUCACUCACAAUCAGCACAACCAACCUAACCCGUGACGACAGGCUGAAUGGUGACGGAUACUCACAGGUACAUCGUUUACACACAACCACUACUUUGUUCUAAUAGUUCAAAUGUGUUGAUACCAUCUUUACAUUUCACUGUUCUGUCUGCACACUUGAAAAAUAAAAAAUUGAAUUGGC